rnacentral:rRNA from 1 species
UACGGGGGGAGCAAGCGUUGUUCGGAUUUACUGGGCGUAAAGGGCGCGUAGGCGGCCACCGCAAGUCGACUGUGAAAUCUCCAGGCUUAACCCGGAAAGGUCAGCCGAUACUGCGGGGCUAGAGUGCAGAAGGGGCAACUGGAAUUCUCGGUGUAGCGGUGAAAUGCGUAGAUAUCGAGAGGAACACCUGCGGCGAAGGCGGGUUGCUGGGCUGACACUGACGCUGAGGCGCGAAAGCUAGGGGAGCGAACGGG